AUUGAACGCUGGCGGCAGGCCUAACACAUGCAAGUCGAACGGUAACAGGAAGAAGCUUGCUUCUUUGCUGACGAGUGGCGGACGGGUGAGUAAUGUCUGGGAAACUGCCUGAUGGAGGGGGAUAACUACUGGAAACGGUAGCUAAUACCGCAUAACGUCGCAAGACCAAAGAGGGGGACCUUCGGGCCUCUUGCCAUCGGAUGUGCCCAGAUGGGAUUAGCUAGUAGGUGGGGUAACGGCUCACCUAGGCGACGAUCCCUAGCUGGUCUGAGAGGAUGACCAGCCACACUGGAACUGAGACACGGUCCAGACUCCUACGGGAGGCAGCAGUGGGGAAUAUUGGACAAUGGGCGCAAGCCUGAUGCAGCCAUGCCGCGUGUAUGAAGAAGGCCUUCGGGUUGUAAAGUACUUUCAGCGGGGAGGAAGGGAGUAAAGUUAAUACCUUUGCUCAUUGACGUUACCCGCAGAAGAAGCACCGGCUAACUCCGUG
rnacentral:rRNA from 1 species